CCAAGGUUGUGAUCUUCCGUGAAGAGAGGAGAACUCAAGACACUGUCUGGUCCUAAAUGAAUGAGAGGCACUCAAAGAGCCACAAAAUCUUGCAGAGGAGUUUCUGUCAUAUGAUGGAUGUGCUGUUCCCUGGUGGUUGCUGAGCCUUCAUAGAUCUCUGACCUUUGCAGUCCAUCAUGGGCAGGUGUAAGGCUUGCUGAAGCACAGCCACAGGGCUUCUCUGGCAGAGACAACACAUAAGGAACAGAAGCAAGGAUAAGAAACUGCUGCAAAAUGCAGGGCAUGGGGCAAAGCAGGGACCAACCAUAGCCCACCUGUACACGGUCAGGCUCAGCUCAGUCCGAUGGACAAAAAUAAAUCUGUCUGAUGCACAGAACUAACCUGAGAAGGCUGCAGGCCUUUGAGGUACCCCCCAGUAUCCCCAUUUCGGACAAAGGAACAUCCUCAGCUUCCAGGAGUGGUCAUUUCACAGCACCUGUGCAAAUGGAAGAAGAAAGCUUUACCUGACACCACAUGAAUUAAAUUGAAUAUAUUAGCCAGAGGCUCAGUCCAUUCCACAACAAAGCUGAAGAAGAGGCGAUCUAUAUGGAAUGGAGCCCAGCAGACAGCAAAAACCAUCACAAGGACAACUGCCAUGGAGAAAGAGGAGAAGAAAAGUAAGUUGGUUAUGCAAGGACAUUGCUCAAUUGCCAGUGCAGAGCAAAGCUAGCUGAGAAAGUUGGAUGAAAGCUUCAGGAUGAAUGAGAAUGUGUUCUCCAUGCAGAAUUCGGCCUUUGCUGACUCCAGUAAGGAUACUUGCAAACCUGUUCCAGGUGGGUACUGUGAAUAUCUGUGGGCACGGUUGUGUGCGCAGAAAAAUAAGCUGGUUUUGGAGUGCAAGCUCCUAGUUCUAGAAGGUGACUUAAGCUGCCUAAAAGAAUAAUGGAGCAUGAAAUAUUGAAGCUGAUUUACGUUUCCUGCAUAAACGUCAUCUCGGUAGCAAGGUGAACUUUGCCUUAAACAUAGCCCUUAAUAAUGAAGUAUUGAGAGUGCUUUAGGGUAGCUGAAACACCAGUUGUCCAGAGUGCUGUCCAGUGUAUGAGUUCACCUUUCCCUUGGGAAGGCCUAAGUGUUUAUUUUUGCUUUGAGAAAGAGGAAAGUUUGAUUAUGCGUCUUUUGAUCAUUAACCAUAACAUGCCAGUCUCACACCUUAUGCCUAUAGCUUGGUAGCUUUCCUUUCAGGACCUGGUCACUGAGUAUUUCACUAAAACUCCAGAACGUUUUUUGUGUAUACGUUCCUCAGCUGUCUGAAGUAAACAUGCACACAUUUGUCCCUGGUAAACAAAAGACAGAAGGACCCACUACUUACACAACAUCUUGGUGACUGAUUUUCUGGAUGGCCUCUGAACAUUCACGGACAUUUCCUCUGCUUCCAAAGAUCUGUCUCCUUUCAGCUGGCAAAGGGAAGGGAGGCACAAGAAGGGUUAGGUAGGAGAUGACAGCCCCACAGAGCACAUUGCUUUUGAUAUUUUGUAGCUGUAGUUUAAGAGGGCAAAAUUCGAGAUAACUCGGGGCUCCUUGACAGACAUCGGCAUUUAUCUUUCAGUUUUAGCCUAUGUUGAAGGUUGAAGCCCCAGGUUCCAAACAAGGUGCAGAUUUUGUAUAUCUGAGAAUGGGUAUUAGCAGCAAAUUGAUAUUGCGAUUCCCCACUCCUUUUUCAAUGAGUCGAUAUUUGGUUCACAGUCUGUUCAAUUUCAACAUUAUUUUCUCUUCUAGCAAAAUAUUCUUUGUUUGUUUUCCUGAAAGAGUUCCCCACAAUUAAGCACAAAGCAAUGAUCCAAAAAAAUGCCCAGAGAGGUCUUAGUGAAACACAGCUGUAAUCACUGGAAAAAACUGUGUACAAGUCAAAGGAGUUCAUUUCAUGCCCUGAGUGUUUGGACUAAUUGAUAUUCCAUCCAUCUGAUGAAAAAGAUCCAUAUAUGCUCUAUAGCAGGCAGCCAGUGCAUGUGACCAGCACAGAUCCAACCACCCACUGCUCAAUUACAAGGAUUCAUACUUUUGCUUUGUUUUCUUUGGUUUUGUUUGGUCCCCUUUCUUUCUUCUUCUUCUUCUUUUUUUUUUUUUAAUCAGUUUUCUAAAAAAAUAGAUACAAAGAAGAACAAUUUAUCCCACCCAAAUGCUUCUCCCCCCAUAUGCUUAUGGUGAGAGCACUGAUGCUUUGGAGAUGAAAAGACAAUGGCUAGAUAAUCAGGAUGAAAACACGUUUUUGCUUUGAUUAUAAAAGGAAUCAUCUAUGGAGACUGCAUAAUUGCACCCAGCUUCUUGCAGAGAGGGCUGCUGAUUAUACUACAUCUUCAGAGCAAUGCUUUUUUUGACAGAGAGAAACUGGAAACAACUUUAAAUUACAUGGGGAAGAAUAUCAGGAAUGAGGGACAAGAUAAAGAUCAGUCUGGGCUUGAAAACACAUGAGUUGUGCCAUUUUCUUAUCCAUUUUGCACAGUGAUUUUUUUCUCCUUGUGUUUGUUUGACAGUAUUUAUCUGUUAUGUUGUUGUAACCCCACUCAAAGAGACCUUCUGCCAAUACUUUAUUAGUAAAACCAAUAAAAGAGAAACACAUGAAAAUUGAAUUAUAUUCAAUUAUAAUUUCCCAUGUUUUACAUUAUUCCCUUUUGUCGCUUUAAGUCCUAUCUGCUGUUGCUUAAGAAUAGGAUCAAGUGAUUUGUAACACAUCUGGUGAUAAAUGUCUGUUCAGAUUGAUUAAAAUCCCUAGCUUCCCUUCAGUGGUUUUCAGCCUCAGCAGUAAUUUAUCCCAGGAAUAUUCCAAAGCCUGGUAGAAUACAGUGCUCUGAUGCUGUAAUAAUGCAGAGGCACACAUAUCUUUAUUUUUCACCCUCCUCCUGUCAUUUUGAUGAUGCUUCAAGGCUUCUCUUUGGCCUCCAGUGGUAAUACAUGGGGGUGGAACUGGUAAGAACAGCUCAGCAGUUGCAAUUUAGCAGAACAAUGAGUCAUUAGAAAACAAAAAAGAAAUGAGCCCAUGGCAAAGCCUGAGUUUGUGCCAAUGGUAUAACAGAAGUACUACCAAGGUGGUGGUUACUUUUACAUCACUGUGGAUGUGUGAGGCCAUAUAAAGUUGCCUGGAGAUGAAUGUUGCCCAGUCAUUGCAAGAGACUUAAAAGUGUCUGGAGCAAAAAGUUGAAAAUUUGAUUUCCACUUUGACAUCUUUAUCAGCUACAGCAUUUCAUGUUGGAAGUCACCAGGCAGAGUGAAAUUAGGGCCUCACCUAUCCCCAGGCAAACAUGAUGAGGCCACUCAGCAAAAGCAGGACAACAUUUUUGAGUAAGUUUUCUGCAAGUUACUGACACAGACAAUGAUCAAAUGUUCACUCCAGAUGAUUAAAAAUGCGGGGUUUAGAAGGUACAUGCCUUCUGCUAGGGCAUGCAGUCCUGCCAACCUGAGAGGUUUGUCGGUGCUGUUGGGACCCAGCUGCUGAACUGCCAUUGCUGCCCUGUGUGUUCUUAGCUCACCUCAUUGCAAAGGGAAACGUGCUAGUGGGUACAGGGCUCGCAGAACAAGCUCCAUGUAAAAGGGGACAGACCCCCUGUACAGACAGAACUGUACUGAGCUCUGCACAAAUUAGCCAAAGGUAGCCAACAUCAACAAGUGGUUCUGGUUUUAACAGCAGUGUGUUUGAGGGACAGAACAGAUUUUGAUGAGAAAAUGAAGACAAGCUCCACAGUGGAAAGAAUAAGUUGCCUUGACUCAAAGAGAGUUAAAAUGUGCCCAAUGUGACCAUAAGAGACGUGUUGGACUCCUAGAAGAAUUUUGCCUAUGUGUGAUCAGUCUGGUCACAUCUGGUUAACAGUUUCCCCUUUGUAGGUGUCUCAGGUGGGUGGGCAAACAUGUCUCUGGACUCUGCACUCUUCCUUGAAUGUCAAAAAUCCUAACUACCUCAAGUACUGGAACUAUCUAUUGGCUCUUACACUGUAGUAUUAAACCAGAAAGUCAUAAAAUUAAAUCCAGGUUGGUCACAAAGUAACAGUGAUGAAGUAAUCAACCUGAAGUCUCUGCUGGCUAUGAAUUACCUCGUGGGAAAGACAAAUAUAUAUAUAUUUAUUUUUAAGAGUAAUGAAAUUAAGGAUUAAAUCAUUGACCAUAUGACAGGGUACCCUUUCACAACUGCCUAAUGUGUCACACAUGCUUCCUUCUCUGUUUUAUCCCGAGGCACAAACUCUGGAGCUUUGACAAAGCUUGAAGGAGAAACUAUAUCAAGAAGAUGCCCUUUCCACAAACUCAGCUGGAAGUGAUGCCUCUGCCUGCUGAACUGGAGCUGUUUGCUGAAUUGGAGAUGUUGUUCAAUCUUCGGAUCAACUCUGAGCUUUUCCACUGCUCUCUAUGAGUAAUACAUGGCACUCAGGAGAUUCUGUAGUGUUGCUGAAGCUUCAAGGUUUUCAUCAGCUGUGAGUAGAGAAAAAAAAGUCUUCUCUUGGAAAUUACACACACACCAUUCCACUAUCAUUUCUGUUGAACAUAAAAAUGAAACCUUUGCCCAGCACAACUUGGAAUGUAAUGCAGACAAACCAGGGGCAUGUGUUGUUAAAAUCUGGAAGUAACAACUGGAUACGCAGAAAAGCUAAGGUAUAUACAAUAAGUAUUGCAGCCCUUAGGAAAGACAAGGUGAACAAAUCUGUCAAUAAACAGAUAUCCCUGGGUAGCAGCCCUUGUUUGGCACCCGGCUUCUCCUCUAGGAUGAGGAUUAGGAACUGUGAAACUAUGCAAAGAUUCCACAGCAGCCACUGAACUGUAGUUGCUUCAAAGAUCUUCUGCAUGUAUAGAUUUCUGGUAGAUAAUCCCUGUGGCUUUUCCUAGAUAGGGAAAAAUUGCUUUUCUAUAGUUUCAGAGAGCAGUAAAUACCAGCCACAACAAUAAAAUGGUGUAUGAACUAGCACAGAUUUGGUUGAAUUUCUUGCACGUUAUUUGGUAAAUUGAUCAGUCUUUACAAGCACGUUGCAUCCCUUUCUUUCUCUGUGAUGAGACACAGCAUUUUAAACUCUAAAUUAUAUUCAGUGCGAUAGGAGUGAGAUAGGAUUCAUAUUUCUGAAACAUAUGUAACGUAAGAGAAGAAAAAGAACACAGACUCUAUGAUUAGCAAAACUGUGCUACACAGGUUAAUAAUGCUGUGAUGCUGACUGUUUUCUCCUUCUAUCUAAAUAAUGACAAUUGGCAAAACUAGUCUCACUUUCUGAAGAGAUCCCAAAGGUGAGCUCUAAGGUAGCCUUAAUCAGUGGUGAAAUUGUGCUCUAGUUAUCCAAAGAGAAGACUGCUGAAAUUGCUGGCUGCAGCAGCAAGGUAGCAUUUCAGUUUGUGACAGCUUUGUGAGUUUUAACAACUGAAUAUUAACAUCCUCUCCAGGGAAGGAAAAAAAUAAAGCGUUGUAAUAGAAAUUCCACAGUCACAAGAAGAGGGAAAACAAAUCAUACACAGGAUUCUAUCA
rnacentral:lncRNA from 1 species